GGUUUCUCUGUGUACCCCUGACUGUCCUGAAACUCACUCUGUAGACCAGGCUGGCCUUGAACUCAGGGAUCCACCUGCCUCUGCCUCCCAAGUGCUGGGAUUAAAAGCAUGCGCCAUCAUGCCC
rnacentral:miRNA from 14 species